rnacentral:misc_RNA from 1 species
AAGUCGUAACAAGGUUUCCGUAGGUGAACCUGCGGAAGGAUCAUUAACACGUAUCCAAACGUUAAAACCCCCCCCGUGAACCUUCAUCCUGCUCGUGUCAUUGAUUGUGCAAGGAUAGCGCUUCUACGAUUCCUGUAGACCGUACACUCGGGCAGGAGCUUUGCCAAAGGGUCCCCAUGCCCCCUAAUAACCCCACAGUUUAAUGUGAAGCUCAAUGUAAUACAUUGGGUAAAAAAACCGAACAACUGUUAACAAUGGAUAUCUUGGUUCUC